CAUUGGGGACACGAACAUUUUUGCUACGUAUUCCGUACGUACGUAUAAUAAUACCUAUACAUACGUAACACGAAACAAAAAAAUCGCCAUGUCCCCGAUGUCCUUUUUGAGUCUUCGUAAUAAUGCGUGUAGCGAGGCCACAAUACAGAAGUGAUCUGAUUAUAGUGUAAGUUCCAGACAAACCUGUUGAUAUUCGUGUGACUGACUCUGGCAGAUAUUACGCAGCAUUUAUUCUGUAGGCCGUUGUGUGAGUGGAGGACUAUUUUGGCCAAGGUUGAUCAAAGAUGGCGUGUACGAUCCGGCACCUGCAGUUAAUGCUGGUAACGGUGAGCGUCAUAGUGACAUCAUCGGUUGUAUCCAGCCAAUUGACGAAUGAUGAGUCCAACGCAUACGAUGAGGCAUGCUUCGUCCCUCCGUCAAAUCGACCUGUUGACGUAGACAAGCUUUUCCUGAUAAACGUUUCUCUUCCAUCAUCCGUGACACAUGUGGAUUUGAGAUACUUGAGCUACCCUAACGGAUCGUGUGGACUCGACAUAUAUGUACUUGUGCCGAAUACUAACCUUUACAUCGAGUUCAAGGGACUAAUUGAAAGGGAAGCAGGGCAAUUUUUUAGCCACUGCAAUUACACCGACGACAUCAAGCCACAACAGUUCCAUGGCAAAAUAUUGUCACUGGGCCUAGGUAUGUAGCCAACAACAUACAAUACUAUAUCAAGAUUGUCAAAGUUCGUC